rnacentral:rRNA from 1 species
UACGGGGGGAGCAAGCGUUGUUCGGAUUUACUGGGCGUAAAGGGCGGGUAGGCGGCCACCGCAAGUCAGUUGUGAAAUCUCUGGGCUUAACCCAGAAAGGUCAACUGAUACUGCGGGGCUAGAGUGCAGAAGGGGCAACUGGAAUUCUCGGUGUAGCGGUGAAAUGCGUAGAUAUCGAGAGGAACACCUGCGGCGAAGGCGGGUUGCUGGGCUGACACUGACGCUGAAGCGCGAAAGCUAGGGGAGCGAACGGG